AAGUUAAGUACAGCUAUUUAUAAGAACCAGGCAGAAAUGAAAAUAAGUGAUUCAUGAUAGUGAUAGAUUUUUCAAAAACUAUCAUAUUUACAUUAAGAUACAUCAAACUAAAUACUUGAUCACAGUUAUAAAUGGAUUUCAUGCAUAGUUGAUUAAAAAAUGAAUUCAAUAUAUACUGAAACAGUCAACAGUAUCCAUUGAAAGGUGUCUGUACGUGCAGGUGAUUUUUUAAGAAGGCCCGCACUCUCCUUGAAUGUGAAUUAUAAAAUAUUGAACAUCUAGUAUCAAAGAGUAAAAAACAAUUAAAAAACCCAUGGGUUAUUUUAAUUACGAAUAGAUAUUGUGAUUUUAAAUUAUGUAAAAACAUGAAAUUCUAGUUAUCUCCCUUGGCGCUCUUUAGUAAAAGGAGUUGGAAAGAGUGUAUUUAACUCUUCAGUUUAGAAGGGGAGGAUUAAGAAAUGUGUGUGAUUUCAUCUUCAUUUUGGAAGUUUUGCCAGUUUUCAUACAUCCAAGGGGCAUUAGCUCGCUGCUGGGGAUUAGAGUAUGAUGAGUAUCUCUCCUUUCCGUUGAUACUCCCUUAGUACUGCAAUAUACACAGUCGACUGGAAGAAAUCCUCGACCCCAGCAUACAUGAAGCCAUAGCAAGAAGCAGUGAAAGCCACAGCAGAGAUUGGAUGGAGCAUAAUUUUUUCUAUGUCUCGGCACCUCUAUGGAUGUCAUAUUUAGAUAAGAUGCAAUCUGAGCCUUGUUCUGAAUUUCAAAAUCCCCUUUGACAACACCUGCACAGCUGAGGUAGUGUAAACUUAAAAAUUGAGGACAACCAAAGAAUCACCAAGAAAAGAUUAUCAAUUCAACUAACAUUGAUGAAUGAACCAAUGCAUUAUGUCAGAGGAAUCUAGCUGGAGCACCUAUUUAGCAGUCAGGACACAUAGAUGUACCUGUACAGUUGAUACAGAUAAUCUCAACGGCACAUUUCUAAAUGAUGGCCAAAAAAAUCUAAUAAAGACACUGUCAGUUUAAAACCUUUUGAAAGAAAUCCAGACCAGAAACAAUGGAUAUUGAUUUUUAAGCUCCUCCAAAUGUAAAAGGGGUUUUAUUGAAACCAAGACUUGGAUACACCCAAGGAUAUUUAAUAUUACACCCCUUCAACAUAAAAUUUUGAAUUUUAGUAUGCCUAUCUAGUCAAGAACAUGGAUUUUUUGACAUUUGAUACACUUUAUAAUGUUAUAUUGACAUUUUUUCAAGAUUUCUUUACUGUAAACUAUGUAUUUCAGCAAAAAGUACAUUUACAGAUGAUUUUUCAAAAAUUGCUUUAAAAAUACAAUUGAAAUAAUUAGAUCAUGUCUCAUAAAUGGUUAAUCACAGUUACCACAGAAACCAAAUAUUUGUUUUAAAGAAGUUAGGUACAAAAAAAUGUUGUGUCUUUCAUUAUUUUAGCUAAUGGCCACCCAUACAGUUUUCUUCAUACAAACUAAUCACAUUGACUAAAUUGUAUAGGCAAAUACAAUAUUUUUGGAGAUGUUGUCAUGGUAACCAGAUACAAAUCACAAAAGCAUAUAUAAAAAAAUAUAUUUUCAUGCAUUUACAAUAAACUGUGAAAAUAAUACAUGUAUGUUAGUCAAUAAUUAUUUUGUAUUUCAUGGAGAUUUUGUAAAGUCAAUUUAUUUAAAAAAGCAUUUCCAGAAUAAUUUGUU